CAAAAGUAGUAGAACUGACCUACUGGCACAGAAUGUUUUGGUUGCCUCAUAACUCUGUGAUGCCACAGACGCACUCCAAACUCCCAGAACAAGUUACCAAGCCCCAGAAAGCUGCCAAGGAAGGCUCUGAAGGCCCACUCAGUAGAAUAACCCCACCACCACUGAGUAGGAUACAGACACUUCAAAGUGUCCUUCCUCUGUGCAUACAUUUCCAAUAUGAGGCUCUUCCAGGAAAUGCAGCUGCAUCUGGUGUCCAGUGAACAAAGGCUUGAGGAGCACUCCUUUUCCAGCUACUUGGACAUAAGGAUUUGCUGUGUUCUCCCAUGAAAGACUGCUUCAUGACAGCUCUGUGUGUCUCUAUUACUUCAAGUCUAGAUUUACUGUGUUUUCCUCCAAAGAGGACUGUAUUCGUAGAACAAACUUUAAAGAGCAAA
rnacentral:lncRNA from 1 species